rnacentral:rRNA from 1 species
GAUGAACGCUGGCGGCGUGCUUAACACAUACAAGUCGAACGGUGAAGGCGGAGCUUGCUCUGCUGGAUCAGUGGCGAACGGGUGAGUAACACGUGAGCAAUCUGCCCCUGACUCUGGGAUAAGCGCUGGAAACGGCGUCUAAUACUGGAUACGAGCUGCGAAGGCAUCUUCAGCAGCUGGAAAGAAUUUCGGUCAGGGAUGAGCUCGCGGCCUAUCAGCUUGUUGGUGAGGUAAUGGCUCACCAAGGCGUCGACGGGUAGCCGGCCUGAGAGGGUGACCGGCCACACUGGGACUGAGACACGGCCCAGACUCCUACGGGAGGCAGCAGUGGGGAAUAUUGCACAAUGGGCGAAAGCCUGAUGCAGCAACGCCGCGUGAGGGACGACGGCCUUCGGGUUGUAAACCUCUUUUAGCAGGGAAGAAGCGAAAGUGACGGUACCUGCAGAAAAAGCGCCGGCUAACUACGUG